UACGUAGGGCGCAAGCGUUGUCCGGAAUUAUUGGGCGUAAAGCGCGUGUAGGCGGCUUUGCAAGUCGGGUGUGAAAGCCCUCAGCUCAACUGAGGAAGUGCGCCCGAAACUGCAGAGCUUGAGUGCCGGAGAGGGUGGCGGAAUUCCCCAAGUAGAGGUGAAAUUCGUAGAUAUGGGGAGGAACACCGGUGGCGAAGGCGGCCACCUGGACGGUAACUGACGCUGAGACGCGAAAGCGUGGGUAGCAAACAGG
rnacentral:rRNA from 1 species